CCUUACCUGGCCUUGACAUACUAAGAACUUUCCAGAGAUGGAUUGGUGCCUUCGGGAACUUAGAUACAGGUGCUGCAUGGCUGUCGUCAGCUCGUGUCGUGAGAUGUUGGGUUAAGUCCCGCAACAAGCGCAACCCUUUUCCUUAUUUGCCAGCGGGUUAAGCCGGGAACUUUAAGGAUACUGCCAGUGACAAACUGGAGGAAGGCGGGGACGACGUCAAGUCAUCAUGGCCCUUACGGCCAGGGCUACACACGUGCUACAAUGGUCGGUACAAAGGGUUGCUACCUCGCGAGAGGAUGCUAAUCUCAAAAAGCCGAUCGUAGUCCGGAUCGCAGUCUGCAACUCGACUGCGUGAAGUCGGAAUCGCUAGUAAUCGCGGAUCAGAAUGCCGCGGUGAAUACGUUCCCGGGCCUUGUACACACCGCCCGUCACACCAUGGGAGUUUGUUGCACCAGAAGUAGGUAGUCUAACCGCAAGGAGGACGCUUACCACGGUGUGGCCGAUGACUGGGGUGAAGUCGUAACAAGGUAAGCGUAGAUGA
rnacentral:rRNA from 1 species